UUACGCAUCUGUCUCUGCAUCACAAAAAGAGACAUCUUUUUAUCCUCUGAAUCCUCAGCACUUGACACAUUUAGAUGAAACAUGAAAUGAGUAAAUGACACUUGUCCUUUUUUUCCUGAUUCACACUUUUAAUCUAUUUUUUAUGAGAAAAAUCCUUGUUGGCAACCCACCUCAAAAAUCUCUCUAUACCGAGAAGCUUCAAUUUCAAUCUCCCUCACUCUUCUGUAUGGUAAGGCCCCUCCUCAAAGAAAGAAACCUGGUAACAGAAUAACACAGUCUUACUGACUUACUGCAUCAAUAGGGAAUACUACCAUACAGGCGAUUCUUAAAUGGGGUUUUAUAAUGAAAAUGGGGUGCACAGUUUUUAUUGCUUAUGGGCUGAGCUUGGAAGUUCUUAGGGUAGGAUAUAAGAAGAGGGUAGUCUUUGGUUUAGUUGUUUUCUCAGGAUGAGGGAUGAUGCCAACAAAGCGAGGUUCUGAGCAAAGAAGCUGGAGUUCUUAAAGUCACAGACAUUCUGCAGUUGUGACUGCAUGACUGAUGGCAGUAGAUGUGCUGGUUCAGAUCCCUUUUACAAGUUCUUGAAAGACAUGCCAUCAACUACUAAUGGUUCCAGAAAAACUGAGGAACAAGUGUCUGUUUCAGAGGAGUGUGCAUCAGCAGCUUCCCACACCCAAAGCCCCCAGGAGCCCCGCAGUCCCGCUGCUCACCUUCCCAAGCCCCUUUCAUCCAGCCUGCAUUUUCCUGACUGCGCUCAAGUGUGUCUGAAGAGAGAUCACCAAGCAAAACAGCUAUGUAGGUCUUCCUUUCUCCUUCUUUUCCUCUCUCUCUUCCCUUCUCCCUCCCUCUAUUCCUCUCUCCCUCUCCUCUUCUCUCUCUCUAAACCUUUUACACUGCAGUUGAACAAGCCCCUGGAUAAAGACUUUAUCCAAAAACCCCCUCUUUAAAGUUAUUUCAAAUUUCUCUGCAAGGCUUUCAGAAAUCUGUUUGUUUGAGGGCAGAAUUAGAUGUGACCGGCGUUUUAUUGUGACAUAAAACCAUAUUUCUUCCCUGGAAGAUUAAAAAAUAAAAUCGGUUAAUAAGAAAAGCUGUCA
rnacentral:lncRNA from 12 species